GACGAACGCUGGCGGCGUGCUUAACACAUGCAAGUCGAACGGAAAGGCCCCGUUUGGGUUACGCGCUUGGCUAGCGGAUGGGUAACACGUGAGUAACCUACCCUUCACUGACUUUGGACUUCCUUAAACUAGCUGUAGUACCUACUGGAUAUCCGUUCUUCCUGGUUGGUGGGGGUUGGCUUGGGCGGUUUGGGGGGGACUCGCGGCUUAUCAGCUUGUUGGUGGGGGAGUGGCUGACCAAGGCUUUGACGGGUAGCUGGCCGGAGAGGGCGACCGGCCACAUUGGGACUGAGAUACGGCCCAGACUCCUACGGGAGGCAGCAGUGGGGAAUAUUGCACAAUGGGCGGAAGCCUGAGGCAGCAACGCCGCGUGCGGGAUGACGGCCUUCGGGUUGUAAACCGCUUUCAGCAGGGGCGAAGCUUGUGGUGACGGUACCUGCAGAAGAAGCACCGGCUAACUACGUG
rnacentral:rRNA from 1 species